AUUGAACGCUGGCGGCAGGCCUAACACAUGCAAGUCGAACGGAGCGGCGGACGGGUGGGUAAUGCCUAGGUAUGUGCCUGUCAGUGGGGGAUGACGUCCGGAUAGGUGCGCUAAUUCCUCAUACUUUCAGAUGAGUCUAGGGCGGAUUAGCUAGUUGGUGGGGUAAGGGACUACCAAGGCGACGAUCCGUAGCUGGUCUGAGAGGAUGAUCAGUCACACUGGAACUGAGAAACGGUCCAGACUCCUACGGGAGGCAGCAGUGGGGAAUAUUGGACAAUGGGCGAAAGCCUGAUCCAGCCAUGCCGCGUGUGUGAAGAAGGUCUUCGGAUUGUAAAGCACUUUAAGUUGGGAGGCGUUACCAACAGAAUAAGCACCGGCUAACUUCGUGCCAGCAGCCGCGGUAAUUC
rnacentral:rRNA from 1 species